rnacentral:rRNA from 1 species
UACAGAGGUCUCAAGCGUUGUUCGGAAUCACUGGGCGUAAAGGGUGCGUAGGUGGCGUGGCAAGUCAGAUGUGAAAGCCCAGGGCUCAACCCUGGAACUGCAUCCGAUACUGCCAUGCUAGAGAACUGAAGAGGAGUGUAGAAUUCUCGGUGUAGCAGUGAAAUGCGUAGAUAUCGAGAGAAAUACCAACGGCGAAGGCAGCACUCUGGGCAGUUUCUGACACUGAGGCACGAAGGCUAGGGGAGCAAACGGG